CGCAUCUGUGCAUGCAGCAUAUCAAUAAGCGGAGGAAAAGAAACUAACAAGGAUUCCCCUAGUAACGGCGAGUGAAGCGGGAGAGCUCAAAUUUGAAAUCUUAAAGGGUUUCCCUUUACGAAUUGUAGUUUAAAGAAGUGUUUUCUGUUGAGGUUUUGGUAAAAGUUCUUUGGAAUAGGACAUCAUAGAGGGUGAGAAUCCCGUAUUUGACCUUUACUUUCAACUUUGUGAUACACUUUCAAAGAGUCGGAUUGUUUGGGAAUGCAGUCCAAAAUGGGUGGUAAAUUUCAUCUAAAGCUAAAUAUUGGCGAGAGACCGAUAGCGAACAAGUACCGUGAGGGAAAGAUGAAAAGAACUUUGAAAAGAGAGUUAAACAGUACGUGAAAUUGUCAAAAGGGAAGCGUUUGACACCAGUGUUGUUUUUCUGAAAAUCAAUUAAAGAACUGUUUAUGCUAAGUUGUUUAGACUUUAUCAGCUAACUGUUUAGUUUUGAGCUUUUCUUUAAUGCACUUUUCAGUUAACAAGUCAACAUCAAUUUCUUUUGCUGUAAAAAAGCUUGAGGAAGGUGGCUUGAGAUUCGUCUUAAGUGUUUAUAGCCUCUUGCCUAUGCAGUCGGAGAGAUUGAGGUCUGCAGCGUAGAUCCUUCGGGGCUAAAUGCAUUUGUGCUAAGUUAUAGCAUUUUAUAGACAACUUGUUGACUAUGAUUUGUCUUGUAGCUUACUCGCUUAUGUUAUUUUACCUACGCUUAGGAUGUUGACAGCAGUAUAGACUGU
rnacentral:rRNA from 1 species